GGCACAUGGGCUGUGGGGGACAGUGAGGGGCGGCUAUCUCCAAGACCCCACUUCAACUGGGACACAUGCUGAUUAGAGGCUCCCCCCACCAGACAUAGGAGCUGACAUGGCAGAUGGGGGUUUGGAAUCUGGUCUCUCCUCUGGUGCCAGAGCUUCCUCUGGGCCUCAGUUUCCUCAUCUGUAAAGUCAGGGGUUUGGACUAGACAAUCACUGAAGACCCCCUAUGAUGAUCUGGGACCUGGGGCAGAAGCCAAGGGACCAAGACCUCCCAGCCUCAACUGGCUUUGCUCUUCUCUCUCCAUCCAGAUAACAAGUACGCCCCAGCCGUCACCCUCAAUGGCUUCAUCUUCAUCCUGGGGGGCGCCUACGCCCGGGCCACCACCAUCUAUGACCCAGACAAAGGCAAUAUCAAGGCAGGGCCCAACAUGAACCACUCCCGGCAAUUCUGCAGUGCAGUCGUGCUGGAUGGGAAGAUCUACGCCACGGGAGGCAUCGUGAGCAGCGAGGGACCGGCCCUGGGCAACAUGGAGGCCUACGAGCCGACCACCAACACGUGGACCCUCCUUCCACACAUGCCCUGCCCCGUCUUCCGGCACGGCUGCGUGGUCAUCAAGAAGUAUAUCCAGAGCGGAUGAGGGCCCGGGCCAUGUGUGUGGGGCUGCGGGCACGGCUGGGGAGGCGGGCCACACAUAAUGCAACGCUCACCUCAAUGGCGAGAAGCGCAGAUCGACACCGCAGAACCCCCUGCACUGGACUCGAGAGCAUUCUCUACCUCGAAUGUAGAACAGUCGCCCGCACCCUGACGGCAGGGAGCCGCGCGCGGCUGGUGCUCCAUGCUAGGGAUGUUCGCGUGCGGGCUUGGAGUCACUCGUGCCCGUCCCAGAGUCCAGGCUUCAGCCAGCCCAGUAAUAAGCACAAUGAAACUCCACCCGUCCUCGGUCAUCGCGUCUUCAUGUUACACAGGGUGCGGGCGGCCGUCAGUGCCAGCGCAGCUGGAGCGUCUGCCUCCGAGGGCGGCCCAGCCAGCAUCCCAGCGGGAUGGAGUGCAGGCGAUGACUGACGAUGUGUCCAAUUCCCUUCCUCUCCUCAUCGGUCACACUGGAGCAAAGCUGGCAAUUUCUGUGAGCUCUCUGAACAGGGUUCUCUGGUACAGGAUUGUACAUAGCUAUGUUUAUUGGUUAGCUCUUGGUAUACCGUAAUAAAUCUAUUUAUAGACCUAGACUCA
rnacentral:lncRNA from 1 species